rnacentral:rRNA from 1 species
GACGAACGCUGGCGGCGUGCCUAACACAUGCAAGUCGAACGGAAAGGCCCUGCUUUUGUGGGGUGCUCGAGUGGCGAACGGGUGAGAAACACGUGAGUAACCUGCCCUUGACUUUGGGAUAACUUCAGGAAACUGGGGCUAAUACCGGAUAGGAGCUCCUGCUGCAUGGUGGGGGUUGGAAAGUUUCGGCGGUUGGGGAUGGACUCGCGGCUUAUCAGCUUGUUGGUGGGGUAGUGGCUUACCAAGGCUUUGACGGGUAGCCGGCCUGAGAGGGUGACCGGCCACAUUGGGACUGAGAUACGGCCCAGACUCCUACGGGAGGCAGCAGUGGGGAAUAUUGCACAAUGGGCGGAAGCCUGAUGCAGCAACGCCGCGUGCGGGAUGACGGCCUUCGGGUUGUAAACCGCUUUCGCCUGUGACGAAGCGUGAGUGACGGUAAUGGGUAAAGAAGCACCGGCUAACUACGUG